UACGGAGGGCGCAAGCGUUGUCCGGAAUUAUUGGGCGUAAAGAGCUCGUAGGCGGCUUGUUGCGUCGGUUGUGAAAGCCCGGGGCUUAACCCCGGGUCUGCAGUCGAUACGGGCAGGCUAGAGUGUGGUAGGGGAGAUCGGAAUUCCUGGUGUAGCGGUGAAAUGCGCAGAUAUCAGGAGGAACACCGGUGGCGAAGGCGGAUCUCUGGGCCAUUACUGACGCUGAGGAGCGAAAGCGUGGGGAGCGAACAGG
rnacentral:rRNA from 1 species